GUGUGUGCGCAGCACAUAUACUAAAUUGGAACGAUACAGAGAAGAUUAACAUGGCUCCUGCACAAGGAUGACAUACAAAUAUUUUGGUGGGAGGUUGGCAUAAUGUUU